UGUCGCUGCUCUUUUGGCCUACUGAAUAGUGUGCAGGCGGAGGCGGCGGAGGAGGCGGCGGAGGCGGAGGCGGCGGAGGAGGCGGUGUUGAUCGGAGCUGAUUUGCUUGAGUGUCGCUGCUCUUUUGGCCUACUGAACUGUAUGCAGGCGGAGGCGGCAUAAAAGGCGGUGAAGAGGUCGGAAGUUGAGAAGUAGAACAUGUUGCAGGAGUUGCCAAAGCUG